GAUGAAGAACGUAGCGAAAUGCGAUAAGUAGUGUGAAUUGCAGAAUUCAGUGAAUCAUCGAAUCUUUGAACGCACAUUGCGCCCCUUGGUAUCCCGAGGGGCAUGCCUGUUCGAGCGUCAUUUCACCACUCAAGCCUGGCUUGGUGUUGGGCGACGUCCUCUUUGGGGACGCGCCUCGAAACGCUCGGCGGCGUGGCACCGGCUUUAAGCGUAGCAGAAUCUUUCGCUUUGGAAGUCGGGGCCCCGUCUGCCGGAAUACCUACUCGUAAAGUUGACCUCGGAUCAGGCAGGGAUACCCGCUGAACUUAAGCAUAUCAAUAAGCGGAGGA
rnacentral:misc_RNA from 1 species